rnacentral:rRNA from 1 species
GAGAGUCAAAGAGUGCUUGAAAUUGUCGGGAGGGAAGCGGAUGGGGGCCGGCGAUGCGCCUCGGUCGGAUGCGGAACGGCGAGAGCCGGUCCGCCGAUCGACUCGGGGCGCGGACCGAUGCGGAUUGCGGCGGCGGCCCAAGCCCGGGCUGUUGAUAUGCCCGUGGAGACGUCGUCGCCGCGAUUGUGGUAGGCAGCGCGCGCCGUCCCGGCGUGCCUCGGCAUCUGCGCGCUCCUGGCGUCGGCCCGCGGGCUCCCCAUUCGGCCCGUCUUGAAACACGGACCAAGGAGUCUGA